AGUGAACGCUGGCGGUAGGCCUAACACAUGCAAGUCGAACGGCAGCACAGUAAGAGCUUGCUCUUACGGGUGGCGAGUGGCGGACGGGUGAGGAAUACAUCGGAAUCUACUUUUUCGUGGGGGAUAACGUAGGGAAACUUACGCUCAUACCGCAUACGACCUACGGGUGAAAGCAGGGGAUCUUCGGACCUUGCGCGAUUGAAUGAGCCGAUGUCGGAUUAGCUAGUUGGCGGGGUAAAGGCCCACCAAGGCGCCGAUCCGUAGCUGGUCUGAGAGGAGGAUCAGCCACACUGGAACUGAGACACGGUCCAGACUCCUACGGGAGGCAGCAGUGGGGAAUAUUGGACAAUGGGCGCAAGCCUGAUCCAGCCAUACCGCGUGGGUGAAGAAGGCCUUCGGGUUGGAAAGCCCUUUUGUUGGGAAAGAAAAGCAGCAGGUUAAUACCCCGCUGUUCCGACGGUACCCAAAGAAUAAGCACCGGCUAACUUCGUG
rnacentral:rRNA from 1 species